ACUACGGGAGGCAGCAGUGGGGAAUAUUGGGCAAUGGACGCAAGUCUGACCCAGCAACGCCGCGUGAAGGAAGAAGGCUUUCGGGUUGUAAACUUCUUUUAAGGGGGAAGAGCAGAAGACGGUACCCCUUGAAUAAGCCACGGCUAACUACGUGCCAGCAGCCGCGGUAAUACGUAGGUGGCAAGCGUUGUCCGGAUUUACUGGGUGUAAAGGGCGUGCAGGCGGAGAGGCAAGUCAGAUGUGAAAUCCGCGGGCUCAACUCGCGAACUGACUUUGAAACUGCUUCCCUUGAGUAUCGGAGAGGUAAUCGGAAUUCCUAGUGUAGCGGUGAAAUGCGGAGAUAUUAGGAAGAA
rnacentral:rRNA from 1 species